UACGUAGGUGGCAAGCGUUAUCCGGAUUUAUUGGGCGUAAAGGGAGCGCAGGCGGUCUUUUAGGUCUGAUGUGAAAGCCUUCGGCUUAACCGGAGUAGUGCAUUGGAAACUGGGAGACUUGAGUGCAGAAGAGGAGAGUGGAACUCCAUGUGUAGCGGUGAAAUGCGUAGAUAUAUGGAAGAACACCAGUGGCGAAAGCGGCUCUCUGGUCUGUAACUGACGCUGAGGUUCGAAAGCGUGGGUAGCAAACAGG
rnacentral:rRNA from 1 species